UCAAGCGUUGAGGUCCGCGAACAUGCGGCUUUGGGUAAUUCUUCUCUUUCUAGCUGUAAUAAUUUUAUUGGCCUCUGGAUCCGUCGACGGUCGUCAGAGGAAUAGAUCGAAGAGCCCGAAGGCUGUCCAAAGAACACCAAAAGGAAGAGCCAAGAAGGGUCAAAAGGGCAAAGAUGAUGCGCUUGAAGUACGGAAGCACUGCAAAAUGUUGGGCGGAGAUGGCAAAAGUGCAGUGAAUGAGAUAAAACCAACUCAAACUACGGCUCAAAUGAAAACGGCAAGGACGAAAAAACCGAGGCGUGGAGGAAGUAAUACGAAGAUGAGGAAAAGUAGGAAUAACAGGAAAAGUGGUCAAGUUAGUAGAAAUAAGGGGCGCAGGAAGAGUUUCCGCAAAUCAAGGAAUAGAAAAUUUGGGUAGAAAAAUUGGAGAUGAAAUAUAAAACGUUGACUUUUAACUCGCUAAAUAAGCAGCCUGCUCAAAAAAGUUAAUUUACAUCUUAAUUUAUAUAUUUAGUUUCCAAUAGACUUGAUUUGUUGAUUGUGUUCAAGCCAAAUUAUCAUUCCAUUUAAAAAAAUCAACAGUUGUAUCACAAUCAAGCCUGUGAAACAAAAUCUUAUCAACCUACUUGGGAAAUACUGAACCGAAUUUGAUUUUAAACUAAUUUUAUAGGAUAAGUUGGCGUUAAUUCCAAUAAAAUAAUUCAAAUAUAAAAUUUAACUUUAACUAUGGUUAAAGUGGGGUUGCGUCUUAAAUCUUAAUAUUACAUCAUUUAAUUAAAAUUGAUUACUUUUGGUUUAAUUUUUCUCAAAUUAUCCUUUAAGAGUUCAAAAAUUUCUCAUAUUUCAAUUUUUGCGUUCUUGCAAGUCUUAUAAUUUUCUGUACUUCCUCACCUGUUUGAAUUUAAAUAAAUGUCUGC